UUCACAUCCUUGGUGGGACGGAGCAGGAAGGCUGGAGAUUUCAUCAAGCUACUCACAGCAGCAUGCCAUUUAAAAUUCAUGAAUUAUUUAUUUCUGGAAUUUUCCGUUUAAUAUUUUUGGACCACAAUUGACCUCAGAUUUUACUUUCUACUCUUGUCAGUCAUAUCUGCAAGGCUGACAGUUACCAGGGGCUGUGGCCAGGCAUGAGGGAGAAUGUGUCAUUGCUGGCUGCGUUGGUCAUAGCAACGUGUCUGCCUCAGAACAGAUCCAGCAUGGAUGAGCAAACAGAAAAAUGUGUAAGAAGGCUUGUGACUGAAACAGACCAAGGGUUAGACUUCUCCUAUGGAGAAUGCAGCAAGAAAAUACCAUCUUGAAGCAGAGAGCAGCGCUCAUCAGGCAUCAGUCCUUCUGGAGCCUUGAUCUUGGACCUCCCAGCUCCAAAAUAAUAAGUAAUAAAUUGUUAUUGCUUAUAAAUU
rnacentral:lncRNA from 10 species